GCCGGAGUCUGUGGUGUGUGUGGAGGGAACACACACCUUCACACUCAUCAACUUCCUCAUCAACUGUAAGAGCCUGGUGGCUGCAGCGGGCUCCCAGGCCGGGUUACCCCCGACACUGCUGGCCCCUGCUGCUUUCAGAGGGGCCACCAUGCACACACUCAAGGCCCGCAGUGUGAAUGUGAAGAGCCAGGUGGGUUCCAGCUAUCAGAACAUCAGCAGUCUGGAGAUCACAGGACCCGUCCUCCCUUCGUCUCUGCACACCAUCACAACCCUGCUUCGGCCUGCACAGAGAGGAAACUUCUCCGCCACUCUCUACACACACACACCGACUGCUGUCAUGAACACACACACCAACAAGGA